rnacentral:rRNA from 1 species
UACGUAGGGUGCAAGCGUUGUCCGGAAUUAUUGGGCGUAAAGAGCUCGUAGGCGGUCUGUCGCGUCUGCUGUGAAAACUCAGGGCUUAACCCUGAGCUUGCAGUGGGUACGGGCAGACUAGAGUGCGGUAGGGGAGACUGGAAUUCCUGGUGUAGCGGUGAAAUGCGCAGAUAUCAGGAGGAACACCAAUGGCGAAGGCAGUGUUCUGGGCCAGUACUGACGCUGAGGAGCGAAAGCGUGGGGAGCAAACAGG